CCUUCUUUCUUUCUUCUUCAUUCUUCCUCUUUUUCUUCUGUCUUCUACAUCUUAUUCCUCUUCUUCUUCUUCUUCACUCUUUCUCUUUUUCUUCUGUCUUCUACGACAUUGUUUUUUGGUUUCAAAAACAAAAUCUAAAUUUGCUAUUAACAAUAUCGCUAACGAAGCCCUAGUCGAAGCCAAUAAAAGAUAUCGAAGUCUUACUACAGAUGUCGGGUUGCUCUCAUCGCAUUUGUGAACCGACAUCCACCAUUUUGGGUCUGAAUAAUCCACACCUACUGAUUCAAUGGUUAUUGCGGAGAGGCUGUCCAAGGAAGACAUUGGUGGUUUGAAAGACUGCUAUUCAACGAAUUGGUUGGAAAUUCCAUGUAUGUGUGGAGGAUUUCAAGUUGACGGAGAACAUUGUUAUGCGGGCGUGGUCGAAUUGAGUGAUGAGCUUGGGUGUAGACAAUUAGCCUCGGAGAUUCACUUGCGUGUAAAUGAUUAUUUCCCAUCGAUGUAGCUAGAUAUUAAGAUAUUGAACGAAUAUGAGUAUCUAUAGACUACAUAUCAAAGAGGUUAAGCGAUUUCGUGUUCGAAAUCUACAUCAAUGAGCUGAAGCGAUUCUGUUUUCAAAAGCUACAUCAAUGAGCUGAAGUGAUUUCGUGUUCGACACUACACCAACUUAGAUCGUUCAUGUUUUUAAUGCCAAAUCUGUUUUAUGAAAAGGCUUUGGGUUUGAAGGCACUGAGUAAGAAUGAUAAUCUUGAGAGCAAGGUGAAGUUUCCAAAUACGCUACACAACACAUUUCGAAAAUUUUAGGUGAAUGAUUUGGAGCACAGAGUUGUUAACAGUAGUCACAGAGCAUGUUCUUCACAAAGGUACCGAUGUUACAUUUGAUUCCAAAAACAAAAUUCUCAAAAUCAAUAAACAUGUAGUAACAGUUAGUUUUGACUAUGGAGUAAGAGUAUAAGCUUUUCUUUUUUCAAAAGUCGGCCACAGUUUUGUAUGAUAACUUGAAUGCCUAUGAUGGUGAUCAUAUUGAGCUUUCUAAAUAAGGUAGGUUUCUCUUAAAAAAAAAAAGCCAUGCACAAAAAAUGGAAGAAGGUCCAAUGAUCCUUUAUAUGACAGGACAACACUUCAUAUUGAUCUAAUGUCCAAUCUCUCUCACUCUCUAUGAACUAUCCAUUAUAUAUAACUCUGCACAUCAAACAAGAAACUAUUGUCCUAUAAAUCUUGCCCAUCCUGAAUCAAAUUGAACGUGCAUGAUUUGACGAACAAAUAUGUUGGAAAGAUGAACCCGGUUUUUUAAUUUAACUUAACAUUCCUGAUUCUAUAAUUUCUUACACGACUGUAUUUUUUUGCAUAUGUAACAGUUUAUUUUGUACAAGCUGUAAUUUAUGGAUUAAUGAUUUAUGCAAUGAUUGGUUUUGAAUGGUCUGUGGUAAAAAUUUUGUGGUACCUAUUCUUCAUGUAUUUUACCUUCCUCUACUGCAUUCUAUUCUCUAUGGAAUCUCUUCUCAGGAUUCAUAGUCCCAAGACCAGAAAGUUUUCAAUUUCCUCAAAUUCUUAACACUUUUUUACUUUUUAGCAUAGAGGAAUAUAGCUAGAUUACUACAUUCUUUUUUAAUGGCUUGGACUAACAGAAAAUUCAAGUGUGGUGGAGAUGGCAGUGUUGGGUAAAUUCAGUGGCUUGGAGCUUGUAUGGAUGGUUGGUAUCACAAUAUGGUGAUAUAAAACACAAGAGUGAAUCAAGUGAUGGAGAAGUAACAACAGUGGAAGAGUUUUUUAGAGAUUACGUUGGUUUCAAACAUGAUUUUCUAGGAGUUGUUGAUGUUGUUAGUGUUGCAUUUCCAAUAGCUUUUUCUUUGACCUUUGCCAUAUCAAUCAAGGUGUUUAAUUUCCAAAAGCGUUAAAAACAUACGAAUUUCAUCUAAUGAAUAAAAGAUCCCACAACCAU